rnacentral:RNase_P_RNA from 1 species
UAAGUAUAGCAGAUGAUCGCAGGUAGAAAUACGUGAGGAAAGUCGGAGCUCCAUAGAGCAGGGUGCUAGGUAACGCCUAGUGAGAGCGAUCUUAAGGAUAGUGCAACAGAAAUAAACCGCCCAUUGGGUAAGGAUGGAAAGGCGAGGUAAGAGCUCACCA